CAUACAACCCUGAGAAUGCCCAAUUCUAUCUCAGAGGAUAAGCAGGGUUGGGCUGGGUUAGUACUUGGAUGGGAAACCACCUGGGAAUACCAGGC
rnacentral:rRNA from 1 species